UACGGAGGGUGCAAGCGUUGCUCGGAAUUAUUGGGCGUAAAGGGUAGGUAGGUGGUCUCAUUUGUCUGGGGUGAAAUCCUUGAGCUUAACUCAAGAAGUGCCCUAGAAACGGUGAGACUUUCGAGUCCUGGAGAGGCGAGUGGAAUUCCCGGUGUAGCGGUGAAAUGCGUAGAAGAUCGGGAGGAACACCAGAGGCGAAGGCGGCUCGCUGGACAGGCACUGACACUCAACUACGAA
rnacentral:rRNA from 1 species